GCCUAGAGAGAAGCUUGCGGCUGAUUAGCUUGUUGGUGAGGUAAUGGCUUACCAAGGCGACGAUCAGUAUCUGGUUUGAGAGGGUGAUCAGACACACUGGAACUGAGACACGGUCCAGACUCCUACGGGAGGCAGCAGUGGGGAAUUUUCCGCAAUGGGCGAAAGCCUGACGGAGCAAUACCGCGUGAGGGAUGACGGCCUAUGGGUUGUAAACCUCUUUUUUCAGGGAGGAAUCAAUGACGUGUACCUGGAGAAUAAGCAUCGGCUAACUCCGUGCCAGCAGCCGCGGUAAGACGGAGGAUGCAAGUGUUAUCCGGAAUCACUGGGCGUAAAGCGUCUGUAGGUGGUUUAAUAAGUCAACUGUUAAAUCUUGAGGCUCAACCUCAAAAUCGCAGUCGAAACUAUUAGACUAGAGUAUAGUAGGGGUAAAGGGAAUUUCCAGUGGAGCGGUGAAAUGCGUAGAGAUUG
rnacentral:rRNA from 1 species